GGGAGCUCUCCCAUAUGGUCGACCUGCAGGCGGCCGCGAAUUCACUAGUGAUUCGUAUUACCGCGGCUGCUGGCACAGAGUUAGCCGGGGCUUCUUCUUCCGGUACCGUCAUUAUCUUCCCGAUCGAAAGGAGUUUACAUCCCAAAGGACUUCAUCCUCCACGCGGCAUUGCUGCGUCAGGGUUUCCCCCAUUGCGCAAAAUUCCCCACUGCUGCCUCCCGUAGGAGUCUGGACCGUGUUUCAGUUCCAGUGUGGCCGUGCGCCCUCUCAGGCCGGCUAUUGAUCAUUGCCUUGGUGGGCCAUUACCCCGCCAACUAGCUAAUCAACCGCGACCCCCUCUUCAAGCUGCUUUCGCAUUUGAUCUCUCGAUAUUAUGCGGUCUUAGCCCCGGUUUCCCGGAGUUAUUCCCCACUCGAAGGUAGGUUAGUCACGUGUUACUCACCCGUGCGCCACUGUACUCAUGGAUUGCUCCACUUUCUCGUUCGACUUGCAUGUGUUAGGCAUGCCGCCAGCGUUGAUUCUGAGCCAUGAUCAAACUCUAAUCGAAUUCCCGCGGCCGCCAUGGCGGCCGGGAGCAUGCGACGU
rnacentral:rRNA from 1 species